rnacentral:sRNA from 1 species
CUGCAAUUGAUGUGUUGUGAUGGUCAGGAUAAUCUCUACCGUUCGUCUGCGCAAUGUUUUCGACGCUGAAGAUCGAACAAGCAAAGGCCCGUAUUGUUUCCCUUAGUGCUCUGAUAGGAGAGAGUGGGGUUGUAAAGGUGGUCGCCGUAGACUUUUCAUUUCCUUUUCACUGGUGAAGGUUUUACAUAUAUGUAUGUACAGUAUCUAUAUUUUCAAAGUUCCAUCGAUGAUUCUUAUUGGUCAUCGCCAUAUCGCUGCCGAUAAUAAACGAAUGAAGGUUUGAAUCAGUUUUCUGCAAAUAGGAGCC